rnacentral:lncRNA from 1 species
GACAUUGCUUCAAACCAGUUUUCUGGUGAACUAUCCAUUGAUUUCCUUCAACCCACUCGACUAAGGUCACUCAAAAUAGGUGGGAAUAAAUUGGAAGGGAAGCUGUCGAGAUCAUUAGCCAAUUGCACAGCACUUGAGGUUCUGGACCUCGGAAAUAAUAUGGUUCAUGAUACAUUCCCAUUUUGGUUAGAGAAGCUACCUUCCUUGAAGGUUCUCGUUUUGCGAGCAAACAGAUUCUACGGCACAAUUUCAAAAAUCGACACGGAAUGUGGGUUUCCAAAGCUACGCAUAUUGGACAUUGCUUCCAACCAUUUUUCAGGUGACUUGUCCAUUGAAUUUUUGCAGAGUUUGAAGGCAAUGGCGAAGAUGACUAAUGACGAAAAGGCUAAGCGGGUUUACAUUGGGGACGUCUAUUAUAAAGACUCUGUGACAAUUGUUAACAGGGGGGUUGAACUAUUUUACCAAAAAAUCUGAACUGUUCUUACUUGUCUUGACCUUUCCAACAAUAGUUUCCAUGGGAGAAUACCAGAAGAGAUACAAAUGCUGAGGUCACUCAGAGUGAUGAACUUAUCCAACAAUGGCUUUUCUGGUGAAAUCCCAUUAGCACUUGAAAAUCUAAAAGAUCUUGAAUCUUUGGAUCUCUCACAGAAUGAGCUGUCAGGGAAGAUUCCUGCACAACUUACAAGUUUAACUUUCUUAGCAGCAUUGAACUUGUCUUACAACCAACUCGAAGGGAUUAUACCGCAAAGCAACCAAUUCAUUACAUUUACAAAUGAUUUUUACCGUGGGAACCCAAAAUUGUGUGGGCUGCCAUUGUCAAGGAAAUGCAAUGAAGUUGGUCUUCCAAUGCCACCACCUCCAGGGGAAGAUGAAGAUUCAUGGUUAUAUGCUGUGUCUACUUGGAAAAUUGCGUUGAUAGGUUAUGCUAGUGGAUUAGUGGUUGGGCUAUGUAUUGGAUAUACAGUGCUGAAUGAGUUGGGAAACAAAUGGGUUAACAAGUUCAAAAAGUGUGGUAAAAGAAAUAGAAGAAGAUGUAGGUGACUCCAUCAGAAUUCUUGCUUCAAAAUUAGCUGGUAAGCGUUUGUCUUUCUAAUUUGAACAGAUAGUUGUUGAUUUAUAUAUAUAGGUUUUCAUAACCUCAUUUUUUUGCUGUCUUUACUAAGUUCACUGUCAUAUCGUACUUGUAAUUUGAUGUUACCAUUGAGCAAUGCAGGAGGUACUUGAAGCAGGACAUGGAAUGUACAAUUGUGAGGUUCAUGAAGAAUGUAGGCAAUGAUCCUAACAAGAUCAAUCCACUGGUUUGUAAUUUUGCUUUAUAUGCACUUUUUUCCUGUUGUAGUUUUCCAUGAGUAUAAAUAAGUGUUUAUUCAUUUUGCAUCCAGGUACCUGUGGAUUUGGGGGAUGCAAUGUUUCAGUGCUACUGAAUUUCCAUGCUAAUAAUGAUAUUAUAAACAAGGAAAUGGCUGCCGAAGCUCUCUUUUAUAUAUAAUUUACUUUUACUUCAAAUUUUUUUAUCUUCAGAAUAUUUGUACAGCUGAGGAGAUUUGAUGGCAUGAUGUUGAUGAAAGUCAUACCUAAUGGACAUUGGAUUGAUUGUGUAAAGAGACGCAGAUGCUGCUACUUCCAUCCUUUGCUCUUCCAAAUAGACAUUAGCUUUAUAUUUUAUCAAUUACGUGUUGGGCUUUAGGAUCGGGUGUAAAGGGUGGACCUGUUGGUCCGGGUUUUAAUUCAGCCCGACACUUAUUUUUAUACUAGUUUAUUUAUUGUUUCAGUGAUAGUUUUAUUAAUUUCAAAAAAUAUGGUUGAAUUAGGUAAUAAUAUGAUAAUAAUAAUAAUAAUAAUUAAAAUUUAAUGAAAUAAAUUAUGUCUUAAAAUCUAGUAUGUUUUCCAAUGUUAGCCAAAGGCCAACAAUAUCUCACACUAAUAUUUUCUUUGUUAGUCCGAAAUUAAAAAUUUCAAAUUAGAAUGUUAUUUAUAGUUUGAGGACUUAAUUAAAUUUUUAUUUUUAAAUUUAGAGGUCAAUUUUAAAUUUAAUCCAUAAUUUAAGGAAUUAAUCCUUUGCUAAAUCCUAACAUAUUUAUAAGUUCCAUACUCAUUAAUAAAUUAGUACUAAAAAUGCUCAUUUGGAUUUAGACAAAAGUAAAUUAUGAUAAAAAUUAAAAUAUAUGAAAGAAAUGAUGCCUUAUAAUGUGGUGUGUGGCAAACAAUCUAAAACAUUAGAAAUAAAUAUGUGACCUUAAUAAAGAAAAUCAAUUCUCUUAUUGUAAAACAUUUAUAAGAAUUAAUUCAAGGGACAAUUUUAUCAUUGUAAAACAUUUAAAAGAAUUUAUUUAAGGAAAAAGAUGGUAUAAAACUGUGAUUUCACGUUAUCUCUAUCCCUUCCUAAUAGAAGAGGAAUGACAAAUUAGAUUUUUAUUCUGAUUUGUAGCAUUUUUAAUUAGAUUUGAAUUUUUCUAAGAGGAAAAAGUUAAAAAUCAAGAGAAAAAAUCUGAUUUGUUAUUCUCCUAUUAGAGAGGGAUAAGGAUGACAUGGAAUCACAGUUUUAUACAAUCCAUUCUCUUUGUUCAAAUAUUUAUUUACAAAAAAUAAAAAUUAUAUGUUGCUUAAUCUCAUAGUGUUUUAAUUGGCUUGAUAAACUUUGAAAAAAAAAUUUUAAUUGAAAUUAAUUUUUUCCACUACUUGAGCCCAUCAAUCCAUCUCAACUACCUAAGAAACUUGCUAAACAUUAUUUUCAUGGGGUAAAAAAGAUUUAGACAUUUGCAUGCAGUGCCAAAAGGCUAAGACCUGAGUCCAAUAAUAUCUCAUACCAUAAAUUUUUUGGACCCAUUCCAUCGUCAAUUGCAAAUCUGGUCAACCUAUAUCUGGGAGGGAACAUGCUUUCUGGAUCAAUACAUUCUUCUUUCACUCUUCCAUCAUUUAAGACCCUGUCUCUUGGAGAAAAUCACUCGGUUGGGAAAAUUCUGCCCGGCCCAUAAAUGAAACCCAAAUAAAUAAAAAUCCAAUGUAAGUCCAAGUCCAUUACAGAAAAAAAUAUCAGACACAAAUUUAAAAGGCCCGAAAGCCUAAAAAAAAAAAUAUAGUAGCUAACCGAACCCAAGCCGCCGCUCCUCCCACGUCAGCCACCAACUACUCCUGCAAGGAAAAGACAGAAUCAGAAGCAAUAACAGUGAAAAAAUAUAAAAAUUGUAUGAAACGGCUAUAAAAGCCAUUUGGACAGAUUUGUAAGGGGCUUUUUUGUUUUUGAAGAAAAAAAGGGGAAAAAGAAAUAAAAGAAACAAAAAAAAAACUUUCAAAAGGUGAUCUUUUUUCUCUUAUUUAUUUAUUUUGAAAAAAGAACAAAAAAAGAAAAAAAAAAUCAAAACUUUCUUAUUUUUUCGGACGGUGAUCGACAGAUCUAAGCUCGGGAGGCCGAUAGAGAGAGGAAAGUAAAAAGGAAAAUUUUACCACGAAAUUUUAAUUUUAUUUCAUUUUAGUCCUGCAUAAGGGCAAAGGAUAUUUUCCUAUUCGGUCCAUGUUUUUUUAACGUGUUACAUUUGAAUCCUUAUUAGCCUAUUUUUAUUUACAAUGUAUACCCCUUAAUUUUAUUCCAAUUUCAAUACGAUCCUUAGUUUAUUUAACUUCAAAUUUUUUUUACAAACUGUUUCAUUUAUUAUUUAUUUAUUUUCAAUUUUUAAUCAAUUUUUUUACAUUAUUUAUUUAUUUACUUAUUGUUCCUUUUGUUUUUAUUUUUAAUUGGCUUGCUUUUUGUAUUUUCCUUUUAUUGUGCAUUUUUUUAUUUUGCCUUUAUUAUUGUUAUUAUUCCAUUAUUUAUUACCUUUUAUGUACUUAGAAAAAUAGAUUAUUUAUUAUUAUUGUUAUUAUUAUUGUUGUCAUUUAUAUUAUCAUUUUCAUUAUUAUUAUUAUUAUUUGUUUAUGCAUAUUAAUAUUAUUAUUGCUAUACUUUUAUAUUUUAUUAUGCAUAUUAUUAUACCGUUAUUAUAAAUUGGUGUUGCGUUAUUAUUAUUUUUCAUUAUAUUAUUAAAUAAAAUAUCAAUCAUAUUAUAGUCAUUAUCGUUAUUAUUAUAAUCAAUUUGUGUUGCAUUAUUACUAUUAUAUUAACGUGAUCUCAACUACCUACUUAUUAUCAUUUUUACCAUGACCAUUUCGAUUUCUUUUCUCUUUAUUCGUGUAGCCAUUUUAUUUUUAUUUUAGACCUAACCAUAUUUUCCCUUAGGUUUAGAUAUAUUUAUUUGCUCCUCACUAUGGCCCAAUCUCGUAUUGUGUUAAAUAGUGAAUCCGUUUUUUACACAACUUAUAAGAAAUAAUUAAAAUUAGGGCUGUAAUAGGCCAUUUUAGCCCGGGCCCAAAUACAUAAACCUUAAAAUAAAAAUACAAUAAAUUACAAACCCAUUUUUAACCCAAUAACACCCCGACCCAAUAGCUGAAUUAAAAGCCCAUUUUUUGUGACCCAAUUACAGAGUGGCCCAAACAAAACAAAAUCAGAAACCCUAGCAGUUAGCAAGCCAGCGCCGCAACUGCCCACGUUCUUCUCUCACAACAACGCCCCAAGUCGCAGCAAUCUCCAGCUCUACAUCACUCCACGUUCAGCACUCGCGCACGCCACACGUUUGUACCUGCAAUAACCACGAACAGUAAAAGGUGGAAAAGAGGUUCUCGGGGGUUUUUUUUUCUUUUCGUUAUUUUGGCUAUUUAAAGCCAAAUCAAAUCUGUAAAAGGGUUACACACACAUAUAUCGAAAAACUGUAAUAGGGGUUAGCAAAUUUUUUGCUGAAAACUGAAAAAGAAAUACCAGAGAAAGAAAAAACAUUUUGAAGGUGACGAAUUCAGGUUUCUUUUCCUUGCUUCUUUUUACUGUUUUUAUUCUUUUAUCUUGUUUUUCUUUGAUUUCUUUGAAUAACAAAAAGGGAUAAGGGGAAAAUAGGAGGGCUUACUGUUUUUUGGAGGCGAUUGAAGGCCUCUUUUCGCCGUUGUCUGGUCGGAGUCGGAGCGGCAGAGAAGGGGACUUUGAGAGGAGUUGCGGCGCACCACAAAAAUGGCAGAGAAAGGGAAUGGCUUUAGGGUUUUAAAAUGGGCUUUUAUAGGGGUUCAAAAGGGGCCAUUUGCGCGAUUGGUCCUUUGCUUUUUGGGGUUGUUUAAAUUAAAUUUAUAUUUCCUUUAAAUUUUACUGCAUGUUUUAUAAUUGUUUUAAAUUGGUCCUAUGCUGCGCAACAUUGUAGGUUUGGGUAAAUGUCUCGUUCAGUCCUCCCCCUGUUGUGCGUGUUUUAAUUUACUCCCUUUCAUGUUAUUUUGUAAUUAGCUUUUUAAAUUCUGUUGAUUUUUUUUUAAUUUAAUCCUUAAUUUAUUAUUUUUAGUUUUUAUUAUAUUGUCAAUAUGGUUCAUUGACGUUAUUAUUACUGUAUGGUUAUUAGUUCAUUAUUAUAUGUUAUAUUAUUAUUAUAUUUAUUUAUAUGCGCAUAUGCCUCUUAAUAUACACAUAUACCUUUUUAAAAUGUUUUAAAUAUAUACUAUAUACAUAUCAUAUAUUUUAUUAUUAUUUUAUUUUUCUUAGCUUUAUAUUCGUAUGUAUGCGUAUAUAUUUUUAUAAUAUUUAUAUUUUUUAUACCUUAUGAUCCAAAAAUAAAUAUUUUUUAUAAUAUAUAUACACAUAUACCUAUGUUAUUCCAUAUUUUUAUAAAUAUAUCCGUUAAAUUAUAUAUAUAUAUACAUACAUAUGUCAAUAUUUUUUAUAAUUACUAAAUAUUAUGCUUAUAUUUUAGUUUUUAUAAACUUUAUAUAUAUACAUAUAUUUAUUUAUUUAUUUAUUUAUUUAUUUAUUAUGUUUAUUAUUUUUGUAUACAUGAAUAUAUAUGCAUCAAUAUUUUGUCAUACUUUAAAAAAAUAAAUAUUUUGAUUUUAUCAAAACAUUAAAAUUAUUUUUAUGAUUCAAAGGUUUUCAAAAUAAAAAACGAUAUUCAAAGUUAGGGAUUUUCGAGGAAAAUUGAGCCCUAACGCAUUGGGUUCCGAUUUUCUUUGUUAAUUCCAAAUGACCGAGAAUAUUUGUUAUUUAAAAUAUAUAAGUAAAAAUCAUUUUUGGAACUUAAUUUGUUAUGUCCUAACGUAUUGGGCAUGACAUAAUUGCUUCCUCGAAACGAAUAUUUACUUAUAAGGCAAAAGUGAUAUUCAAAAUUCAGGGAUUUUGAGAAAUUGUACCCUAACGUAUUGGGUCUCAAUUUCUUCACAUGACUUGAAUAAUUGAUUAUCCUUUUCAGAUUUCAUCAUUUGAAUUUUAAAAAUCUUUUUAACCCUCGACAUUAAGAUAUUAAAUAAUCAAUUUGGUACCGAUUUUUGGGCGUUACGAGGGUGCUAAUCCUUCCUCGUGCGUAACUGACUCCCGAACCUGUUUUCUCAAAUUUCGUAGACCAGAGUCGUUUUUAAGGUGAGCCGAUCACACCUCAAUAAAGGAUCGGUGGCGACUCCAAUUUUUGUUUUUUAAAGUCGACAACUAAAUUUUUGUUUUCAAAAAAGAUGGUUUCGACAAGGACAAUGUUUUGUAUUUGGGGAUUCAAGAAGUCGUACCCUAACUUACGGGGCUUGGCUUUCUUGUUAAACUUAGAUGACCAAAUAUCUUUUUAAAAUUAAAACACGUGAAAUUUAUAUAAUAAUUUAAAUAAAGAGCAAGCUUAUUUUCAAAGAUUUGAGAUGUCGUAUCCUAAUUUACGGGAUAUAACCUUUUGUUACCUCGAGAUAAGAGGGCCUUUUACAUAUAUUUUUGAUUUAUUCAAGUGAUUUUUAGUAACAUGAUGCAAAGUGCGAUCAUGUUUUAAACUCUCUUCAAUUUUUUUAAUUCAUGACACUAAGACUUUAAUUAAUCAACUAAGUACUAAUUUUAAAUGUCGCAAGGGUGCUAAUCCUUCUUCGUGCGUAAUUGACUCCCGAACCCGUUUCUUGAAUUUUGUAGACCUUAAAUAUUUAUUUUAGAAAAUCAAAGCGAUCAAAUUACGAGGUGACCCGAUCACUUCGACAAUGACUACAAGCAUUUUUUCUCACAAAGUUCACUAUCAUAUCAUAUUGUAUUUGUUCUUGUGGCAAUGAAAAAUUUACCUUGUUGAAGUGCAUAGGUACUUGAUCCAAGACAUGGAAUGAACAGUUACGAGGUACAUGAAGAAUCUAGGCAGUGAUCCCAACAAUGAUCCUAACAGCUGAGGAGAUUUAAUAGCUUGAUGCUGAUGAAAGCCUUAUCUAAUGGACAUUGGACUAAUUGUGUAAAGAGAUGCAGAUGUUGCUACUCCCACCCUUUGCUCUUCCAAAGAGACAUUAGCUUUAUAUUUUAUUAAUCAUGUGUUGGGCUUUAAGUCCGGGUGCAAAGGGUAGACCUGUUGAUUCGGGUUUUAGUUCAGCCCAACACUUGUUUUUACAGUAGUCUAUUUAUCUUUUUUAAUGAUAAUUUUAUUACUUUGAAAAAUACCAUUCAAUUAAACUUUGUGUGUAAUAAUAUGGUAAAAAUAAGAAUUAAAAUAUGGUGAAAGAAAUGUCAUCUUAGAAUCUGGUAUGCUUUCCAAUGUUAGCCAAAGGCCAACAAUAUCUCACACUAUUAUUUUCUUUGUUAAUCCAAAAUUAAAAAGUUCAAAUUAGAAUGUGAUUUAGAGUUUGAGGACUUAAUUAAAUUUUUUUUAAGUUUAGAGUUCAAUUUAAAAUAUAAUCCAUAGUUUAGGGACAUCAAGUGAAUUAACCCUUUGAUAAAUCCUAACAUAUUCAUAAGUUGCAUACUCAUUAAUAAAUUAGGACUAAAAUGCUUAUUGGUAAAUUGAUUUCACAUAUAAGUUAAUUUAUUUUUGGGUGCUAUACCAAAGUUUAAUUAAAAGAUUGUAAUGCUACACUUCUACAUUUAAAAAAAUUAAAUUAUAUAUAAGCAAUUAUGAUAUAAAAUCAAGGCAGCCCGCAUCUAAAAUAUUUUAAGCAUCAAACACAUGAAAAAAAAUCCAAACCCAAAUAUUUUAAGCAUCCAAAACAUUGGCAUUGGCAUCAAUAAGAACACUUGGAUUGGAUAAUGAAAAAAAAAUCCAAUCUCAACUAUUUAACAACGACAUGUUUAUUAUAUGAUUUUCAAUACAAAAUCAGAUAAUUAAUCCGACUCUGUUGAGUUAACUCAUACUUAUAAUGUUCAAUUAAAUGAUUUUUUCAAAAAAAAAUUAAUUGUUUAUAUUUCGAAUCCAAUUCAACCAAUAAAAAGCCAGUUAUAUUUGAAUGCGAAUGCAAAGCAGUGGAUAUAACGUAAGGGACUCAAUCCAAUUUGGCAUUCUAAAUGAUGUCUUAAUUACAAUGUGGUGUGCUUUCCAGAGUUGGCAAACAACCUAAAGCACUUCUUUAAUUUAUCUUUGAAAAGUGAUAAAAAUAUUAAUAACUAAAAUUAAAAAACUGCAAGAACCAUUAUCUUUCACAAAUUAUUCAAAAUCAUAUGGUAUUUGUAGUCGUUGGCUUAUAUUUUGAAAAGAUUGAUGUUACAAACUAACUCUGAAUUUCCUAAGCUUAUUUUUUGUCCCUUGACACACUUCGCUAUCAUAUGGUAUUUGUAGUCGUAGGCUUGUAGCAUUGACAUUCAUUUUAUCAUUUCGCAAUGCAAGAGGUACUGAAACAGGCUAAGCUGAAACGGCUCAUUAGGUUUGCAACUCCAAAAGACUCUUCGAAAAGAGCAAUGAAAGAAGCGACAAAAGGGUCCUUGGCUGUUUGUGAUGAUGCACUUACAUAGACUCACUUCUAUAUGAUUCAUGUAAAUCCUUUCUAUAACUUAUUUCCUAGGAAGCAUUCCUCUGUUAGAGCAACUAAUCCAUAAUUCUUAAAUCCAGAUACUGAAAUUCUUUUUUUUUCUCUCGAUUUUGUAGCAGUGGCCAAACUCCCCAAUGUCUUGGCUACCAAUCUUCUUUAAUUUAAUCGAACUCAUUUAUGGUAAGGAUGAGUUUUGAAAUGCUAUAUGAAUAUUGUGAGUUGAACAUGAGCAGCAUACUUGAUAUGCAAAAUCUAAUAUCAAGAAUCUCCCUUGUGAGAUUCAUUUUUGCUUCAAUUCACAGCCAUUUGGGGUACGUAAUUUGUCUCUAGCACUGAACUUUCAUGCCAAUAAUGCUAUAUUAUAAACCAGGAUCAUGGCUUUUCCAAGCCUUCUUUAAUAUGAAUUUACUCUUUAGUUCAGAAUUUUAUUUUCAAAUUAUUUCUGUGCAGCUUGGAAGAUAAUAUGAUGAGUUGAUGUUGAUGAAAGCCACAUUUAACAGAGUGAUUCUGCAAAGAGACACCACUGCUAGAUGUGCCUCUUUGAAACAGGACAAACUCAAGCAAAGAUCGUUAACUUUAUCUUUGAAAACAAUGGUAAAACUUUCUAACUAAUUAUCUUUUCCUUGACAUCUUCUUUAAUCAUGCUUGAAUUAAGUUUAAGCAUAUGAAAGACAUGAUUGUUGGUAGAUAAAUGAGAAGCUUCAUGUUCUAAUUUUUAGGCUAAUGGUCUAAGAAGACAGUAAGGCGUGUUGAUUGCAGUUUGUUAUCUAUUAUAUGGAAAAGAAAACGUGCAUUGCCAACAUAAAGUACAGAAAGGAUAUGCAUAAGGUGCAAAGGCUUAUCAUCGAAGCAAGUCUACAUCUUGUUUAAGGUGGCUCAUGUUCUCUUACAUGUAAUUUGCAUGAAAUCUUAUUAUCUUAGGAUUAUACUGGAGUGCCACCGGCAGUUGACCUCACUAGCAUGUGAGACACUGUUAAGAAUCUUGACAAUGAUCUUAACAAGAUUAAUCCACUAGUUUCUAAUUUUCCCUCUAUAUUUUACCAGGAGUAUAUAACUUAUUUACUUCUAUAUCUUGCAAUUUAUGCGGCCCCUGAGCAUGGUAUAGCUUGGUGUUGGUAGAUUCACAUCGUCCAAGAACUUACAAGAUGUUGAGAAAGCAUAGUGUUGGCAAAAUUUUUUAGUUUUAUGGUUAAGUCUAUGAUCAUAAAUCUUAAGAAUAGAAUGAUUUUACUAUAAAAAAAUCAGGUUUAUAGGACUUUAUCAUCAAUGUAACUAUUUUUAAUGUGGUUAUAGGAGAGGGUGUGGUUGAAUUAUCUUUAGCUAAUCAUGGUCGAGCCAUAGUUGCAGACAUGGGACCUGAAUAAUGUGCAACCAUGGGUUGUCUUUCCUGUGGAUCAUACAGCCUUGCAAUUCCUUAAUUUAACCAGCAGGAGUGGUGACACAGUUCAUUCUCUGCGUGGUGAUGACUCCAACAAGGUUUUAUGUUAUUAUUGCUACUAUUUUGUCUUUUUAAUAAUUUAGAUAUAAGAAAAUUUUCAUAUAUAUAUAGAAUAAGGAUGAGACAGAAAGACUAAAAUAUUGGCAUCAAUAAGAACACUAAGACCAAUAAAAUCUCAUUUCAAAAUUAGAAUUGAAAAAAUAUAUAUAUAAAAAAUUGAAGAUGCAAAGCAAAUUAAGUGUGAAUUGAAAACCUUAAUGCUAAGACUAAGAAUAAAUAAUUCAUCCAUUAAGACUAAUAGCUUCAUCAUCAUCCUUUGCUGUGAUAUGACUCUGGUUUGAAUUUAAAGAAGCAAAUAUGAAGUACUCAUAAUGCGAGAGAAAAUUACUUAGCUAAGAGAAGAAAUCAUUUACUUCAACGAAACUAUCCCCGGUAGAAAUAAAAGCCAAAAGAAUUAAAUUCAUUCAAAACAAAAAUUGUAGGGAUUAGUUUUAUAAUUUUACUUAGAUUUUUAUUUUAACAGAAGGACGUGGGUUCGAGUACGCCGAAGUGCAUUAUCCUCCUAUUUAUGGAUUGGGAAGAGACUGGGUAGUUUUAGGCAUUGUAUCAAAAAAAGAAAUUUUUAGAGCCCUAGACGGCCACACUCCCAAACUACCCUAAAGUCGGGCUGAUGGUGACUAGAAAACAACCCAACAAAUUCCAAUCAAAUAUCAUGCUCAAAAUUGGAAUUAACAAAUGGAAAAACAAAAAGACAUUGGUAAAGCAAAAUAAGUGUGAAACAUAAAGAAAUUGAUAUGAAGAGUAAGAAGAGAGUAUGAAAAAUUUUAAAAUUGUAAAUUAGGAUGACUUUAAAAUAUGGGGAAGAUUCAUGGGUUUGAAAUCAAUGAUUUUGCAGUUUCUCUUUGUUGAUUUGGUGGAUGUUUCCCACUACUUUUGCUUUUAGUGGUUACCAUUAUAUAAUUGGAAAUUGGAAUUACUUUUGCCACUCAUUUCUCAUGUUUGUUUGGCCAAUAAAAGAUUAAUUGCAUAAAGCAACAAUAGGGCAAUAGGCUGCAAUAUUUCCACACGCCUGUCAAACAUUUUACUCCAAUUUUAUGUAUUUUUUUAAAAAAUUAACAUAUUUUUUAAUUUUUAAUUUUAACAUUUGAUCCCUAUACUUUAAAAGUUAAAAAUUCAAUUCUUCUACUUUUUCAAUUUAAAAAUCAUAAUCAAGCCAUUAUCAUCGUUGAUAGUUUUUGUCAAAAUUUAUCAGUUUAAUAUGUUUAUUUUUAUCAAUCAUAUGUCACGCCAUAAGAUGACACGUUAAUCAAAAUUUCAAGUUGACAAGUUUUACAAAAAAUACUUGCGAUUUAAUGAUUGCACUGAGAUUUUUAACUUUUUAAAUAUAUGAACUAAAUCUUAAAUUUGACCAAAAUACAAGAACUAACAACAUAUUUUAACCAAAAUUUAAAUAGUUUGCACAUUGAAUCAUCAUAACUAAUUUAAGGAUUUAAUUAAAAUAUUUCAAAAAAUUUCCAUAUUACCUUUACUUUUGUAAAUAAUGAUAUGCAUUGGAAUUAAUUAUUAAGUAAAAGGAUAAUGUUUUAUGGAAACUACAAAUUUAUGUAUAAAAUGUUGCAUGAAAAUAAUCCUUCUUCAUACCCAACCAACAUGAGACUCCAUUUCCUUGUUUCACCUUUUCUACCUUUCUUCUUUCUCUUCUCAUCCUCUCUUUCUCAAUCUCAUCUCCCCCAAAAAUGUAAAAUAAAAAAAAUAUUUUAAUUUUUAAAAAAUAUAAAAUUUUGGAAUUUUUAUGAAUAUUUUGAAUUUUAAAAAUUAUUUUGAAUAUUUUGAAAAUUAUUUUAAAUUAUUUUGUAAUUUUGGUUGAGAGAGAUCAAGUUGUUAAAUUUUAAAAUUGACAAGGACCAAAGGAGCAUGUACACCAAUUUUUUGUUUGAAUUAUUCAAGUUAUUUAAAUUGUAAAAUACAACUCGAAAUCAAAUUAUAAAUAUUUUUAAUAAUAUAAAACAUAAGAAAUAUUAAAAUUAAAUAAUAAUAUAGAAAUGAAAUUUUUUCUCCAAAUUUCUCCUCCAAAUACAGUCUAAGAAAGUUUGAAAGCCGAAAUUUAAAAAUGUUUCUUUUAAAAGUGAAAAGUUGUAUAUAUUGUAUCAUCAAAAUUUCCACUCAUCCAACUAAGAAACUUACUAUAAUUUUGUCUUUAUAAUGUGACUUGAUUUGUACACAAUGGUUGAACGUUGUUGAUAAUACUCUGGAAUGACAUAUCUUUAUAUAUUAAUUACAUAUAUAUUUUAUUUUGAGUAUGAUCCUACUAAAUUGAGCUAUUUAUGGUUUUUAUAUUGUAGGGACUAAAUUGAAGGAAAAAUAAAAUUUAGGGGCAAAAAUCAUGAAUUUGAAGAUAAAAUGGGUCAGGAUGCAAAAUAGGAAAGAAAUGGUGCCGAAAAUGCAAAGUGUGGAAAACUUGGGGGCAAUAGUUCAAAAAAGAGAUUUUAUAAACACAAGACUCUAUUUGAAUUUUAAUUAUAUUAGGAUUAUUGUUAAGAUUAUUAUUUAGAUUUAAUUCUAGCUUUUAUCUUUAUUUAUCUUUUAGAAUUUAGAAAGGAAUAAACUAGGUCUUUUGAGUACUAUAAAUAGGGGAUGGAGUGACAUAGAUUUAACUCAUCUUUUCUGUAAAAGCUCUCUCUCCCAAAAAGCUUUAGCAUUUGUUUCUUUCAUUUAUUCAAUAAAAUUUCAUUUUUAUUAAGUUUAUUUAUUUUUCCCCAAAAAGCAUGAGCCAUUAAAUUCAUUUAGCCAAAUGUUGUCGAGAUUCCCCAAAAAGGGUUCAUGAGGCUUAGAAUCCGCACUUAGCCUUCUCAACAAAUGUUUAUCGUUUCUCCGUACUACGGGACUGACGCUUCCGUCCAUGUCCCUUCAAAAGUGAUCUUUUCAUCUUAAAAAAUUGAUUUUAUAUUAUAAGUUAAAAUUUAUAUUUCUGGUGCUAUAACAAAGUUUACUUAAAAAAUUAAAUUGUAAUUUUUUUAUUUAAAAAAAAUUAAAUGAUGUAGAAAUAAUUAUAUAUAACAUAAAAAUGAUAAAAUUUACCUGAGUUUAAAUAAAUUAAAGUUAAAAUAUUUGUAAUUUUUUGUGCUAAAAAGUCGAUACCUAAAAUAUAUAAUUUAAACUCAAAAUAUCAGUUGAAUUGUCAUCUUUGCUCAUUCUAUGCGUAGUAAUGGUUCUAAUAGGGUUUAAAGUGCUAUAAUUUAGUCUUUUUUAAUAACUUAGAUUUAAAUGAUUAUUUAUAUAGAGUAAGGAGUGGGCAAGAAAACUACAACCUUGGCAUUAAUAAUUUAAUGAGAUCCAUAAAAUAUUAAAAUCUCAUUCUUCAAAAUUAAAAUUAACAAAAAGGAAAGACAUAAAGUAAAUUAAGUGUGAAUUUAACAACUUAUCUCUAAUACUAACAAUAAAUAAUUUAUGCAUCAUCACUAACAGCUUUAAAUAAUAAAUUAUUAUCCUAUGUUGGAAAAAAUUGACCAAAAAGACUAAGUGGUGGAACAGUAUUUUGAUGGAGUCUUGAUUUGGCAAAAUGACUUAGAAAUUGCAUGCAAUGCCAAUCACUCAUAAAUAAGUUGUAUGCCAAACACAAUCCUCCUUCACACCCACCCAACAUGAACACUCUUCAUUCCCUUAUUUCUUCACUCUUUCUCUUCUCAUGCUUCCUUCCUCUUCUCUUGUCUUUUUCACCUCCUCAAACUCAUCUCCCAAUGCAAUGCCUUGAUGACCAGAGAUCUCCUCUGCUGCAAUUGCAACAUCAUCUUUACUAUGCCCCUCAUUUUACUUUCUCUUCCAAAUUUGAGCUUUGGCACCCCAACACUGAUUGUUGCUCUUGGGAAGGAGUCACUUGUGAUGCUUAUGGUCAUGUCGUUGGCAUUGAUCUUAGUUACAAAAACCUUUCAGGCAGCUUUCACUCCAUAUUCAAUCUCCAUCGUCUUCAACGCCUUAAUCUUGCUGGAAACAACUUUAAUACCACUCUGUUUUCCUAUGGGUUUGAUAAACUCCAAAAUCUAACUCAUCUCAACCUUUCAAGCUCAUGUUUCCAUGGCCAAAUUCCAGUGGAGAUCUCAUUCCUAAAAACGUUAGUCUCUCUUGAUCUGUCCAAUCAAGAUUCUUGUUAUUUGAGAUAUUACAAAGUUCUCUACCCUGGCUUCUACAACCGUUUUUCAUUGCCUUACGAACUUCAACAGCCUCUUAAAUUAGAGAAUCCAAACUUCAAGACAUUAAUCAAGAAUUUGAGGUUUCUCACAGAGCUUUAUUUGGAUAGUGUGGACAUUUCAACUCAAAGUGCUAAAUGGUGUGAAACCACAUCUCUUGUACUUUCCAACCUGCGUGUGUUGAGUCUGUCAAACUGUGAUUUGGAAGGUCCAUUAUGUUCUUCACUCUCAAGACUCUCUUUUCUUUCCAAACUUAUCCUUGAUGGGAACCCAAUCUCUUAUUUACCUCCCAAUUUCUUGGAAAUUUCCUCUCGUUUGGUUUCUCUCAGUUUGAGGGAUUGCAAUUUGAAUGGGCAUUUUCCAACCGGAAUUCUCUUAUUGCCAAAAAUUCAAAGCAUUGACAUUUCAGGCAAUGACCAACUUAUGGGUCAGUUGCCAGAAUUUCCAGCAAACAAUGCUUUACAGAGUUUGUCGCUUUCUUAUACAAAUUUCAGUGGAAAACUACCUCAAUCAAUUGGUAAUCUCAAGUUCUUAACAGAUUUACAUCUUUCUGGUUGCAAUUUUUUUGGACCCAUUCCAUCGUCAAUUGCAAAUCUUAGUCACCUGGUGAACUUGGAUCUUGGAUAUAAUUAUUUCAGUGGUUUAAUCCCUUCGUUUCAUAGAUUUGGAGCUCCUAAUCUUGAAAAUCUCAAUUUGGAGACGAACAAGCUUUUUGGAUCAAUACAUUCUUCUUUAUUUACUCUUCCAUCGUUGAAGACCUUUUAUCUUGGAGAAAAUCAAUUGGUUGGGAAAAUUGAUGAGUUCCCCAAUGCAUCUUCUUCUUUGAUUGAAGUACUAUCUAUAGGCAAUAAUUAUUUAACAGGACCAAUCCCAAAGUCAAUCCUUGAACUUCCAAGGCUUGAAUGGCUUUAUAUCGAAAGCAAUAGCUUCAGUUCCAUGAAGCUUGACAUGUUUGUCCAUCUCAAGAACUUGAGGUAUCUGACGCUGUUCAACACAAGCUUGUUAAUUGAAAGCGACAACAGAAGUCUUACUUUUCCCCAGUUAGAGAGCCUAAGCCUAAGGUCAUGCAACCUUACUGAAUUUCCAGAAUUCAUUAAAAGGCAAGACAAGUUGGUUGACUUAGAUCUUUCUAACAAUCAUAUCCAUGGUGUUGUGCCUAAUUGGUUGUGGAAGAGCAGUCUUUCAUUCUUACACCUUUCUUUCAAUGUGAUUGAUUUUCCAAAACAGCUUCCCUUAAAUGAUGCAAACUUCUCUUUUUCAAUGUUGAGGGUAUUGUAUCUGGAAUCUUGUAACAUAAGUGUGUUUCCGGAGUUCUUAAAGAGUCUAGAAAAUUUAGUAGUUCUCGACCUUUCAAAUAAUAAAAUAAGUGGUGCAAUACCAAACUGGGUGUGGAAGAAAAGUUUGCGGUAUCUGUUUCUUGCUAAUAACCAUAUCUCAUCUUUGGACCAACUUUUACCCAAUCAGAGUUCAACUUCUUCACAAACCUCCUUGGCUAGACCUAUUUGCAAUUUGAGUAAACUUAGAAAUUUCAAUGCAUCUCAUAACAAUUUGAGCGGCACGAUUCCAAAUUGCUUAGGCAAAAUGAAUGAUCUCUAUUUGUUGGAUCUGCAAGGAAAUAACUUCAGUGGAAUGUUACCAAAAUUUUCAAAAGCAACCCAAUUAUAUAUUCUUAAAGUUAGCGAGAAUAGAUUAGAAGGGAAGUUGCCCAGAUCAUUAGCUGAAUGCACUCAGCUUGAAGUUUUGGACGUGGGAAACAACAAGAUGAAUGAUACAUUCCCUUUUUGGUUGGAGAAGUUGCCUUACUUGACGGUUCUGUUGAAGUUGGUCAGCAUGAAGCCAACACUCGAUUCCAUACAGGCCAUGAAGACCAAGCAAAGCUGGAACAGAUGCAAGGGCUGCUGAUGCAAGCUCAUUUUGUUCAUUUUGUUAUAUUUAGUUGAUGAAAUGAGUGUUAGUUCAUUUCUAACNNNNNNNNNNNNNNNNNNNNNNNNNNNNNNNNNNNNNNNNNNNNNNNNNNNNNNNNNNNNNNNNNNNNNNNNNNNNNNNNNNNNNNNNNNNNNNNNNNNNUAUGUAUGAGCUGUAAACACACUUUUGUAUAAGUUUACAAGCUAAGAUUUCAAGUUUCUAUGUAAUUAGUGGAGGUAGGUAAUUACUUGUUGAUUUUGACAAGCCUUAUGCUUGAGUUAUGUACUGGCUUCAAGCCAUUGUUUUUUUGUAUGAAUCAAAUCAGUUUUGUUCAUCAAUAUUCUCUCAAAUUUCCCCAGCUUAUUUUCUUCUUUCUUUAACUCGAAAUUGUUUAUUUGCUCAGCAAGUUUCGAGGCUUGCUCGACAAGAUACUUGCUGAGUCUGCUUGAUUCUAUUGUUGCACCAACAGGUUCUAAUAUUGCGGGAAAACAGAUUUUAUGGUCAAAUUAAACAUAGAUUUGUUUUCCCAACUUUGGAUGUGUUGGACAUUGCUUCAAACCAGUUUUCUGGUGAACUAUCCAUUGAUUUCCUUCAAGCCACUCGACUAAGGUCACUCAAAAUAGGUGGGAAUAAAUUAGAAGGGAAGUUGUCGAGAUCAUUAGCCAAUUGUAAAGCACUUGAGGUUCUGGACCUUGGAAAUAAUAUGGUUCAUGAUACAUUCCCAUUUUGGUUAGAGAAGUUGCCUUCCUUGAAGGUUCUCAUUUUGCGAGGAAACAGAUUCUACGGCACAAUUACAAAAUUUAACACAGAACGUGGGUUUCCAAAGCUACGCAUAUUGGACAUUGCUUCCAACAAUUUUUCAGGCGACUUGUCCAUUGAAUUUUUGCAAAGCUUGAAGGCAAUGAUGCAGUUAACAAAUGACGACAAAGCUAAGCUGGAUUACAUCGGAGAGAAUUAUUAUCAAGAUUCAGUGACAAUUUUCAACAAAGGGAUUAAGCUGUUUUACGAGAAAAUCUUAACCACUCUUACUUGUCUUGAC